CUGUUGCGGACAUAUAAAGUGAACAUGACUGUCAAUACCUCCGGCGGUGACAAUCAGCCCUUCUCCGGCUAUAACUUCGGUUCCGGCACCGAUACUGAAAUCAACAUUAUUUUGAAUGGCCGGGUUUCCUGCUUUACCAAUGGCGGCAAUGCGUCCGUCCUUAAUACCGAUAUCUGCCUUGUAUAUGCCGGUGUAAUCUACAAUGACCGCAUUAGUAAUUACCGUAUCAACGGUUUUGCUGCAGCAAUGCUGACUUUGACCCUGACCGUCGC
rnacentral:sRNA from 1 species